rnacentral:rRNA from 1 species
GAUGAACGCUGGCGGCGUGCCUAAUACAUGCAAGUCGAGCGCGAGAGUGAGGAGCUUGCUCCUCAUGAUCGAGCGGCGGACGGGUGAGUAACACGUAGGCAACCUACCCUUGAGAUUGGGAUAACUACCGGAAACGGUAGCUAAUACCGGAUACGACCUUUCCACAUAAGUGGAAUGGUUAAAAGGCGGAUUUAUCUGCCGCUCAUGGAUGGGCCUGCGGUGCAUUAGCUAGUUGGUGAGGUAGUGGCUCACCAAGGCGACGAUGCAUAGCCGACCUGAGAGGGUGAUCGGCCACACUGGGACUGAGACACGGCCCAGACUCCUACGGGAGGCAGCAGUAGGGAAUCUUCCGCAAUGGACGAAAGUCUGACGGAGCAACGCCGCGUGAGUGAUGAAGGGUUUCGGCUCGUGAAACUCUGUUGUUAAGGAAGAACACUUGAGGUAGUAACUGGCCUUGAGAUGACGGUACUUAACCAGAAAGCCACGGCUAACUACGUGCCAGCAGCAGCCGCGG